rnacentral:tRNA from 1 species
GCCCCCGUAGCUCAGGGGAUAGAGCAACGGUUUCCUAAACCGUGUGUCGGAGGUUCGAAUCCUCUCGGGGGCACCA